CUUAACAGUGAUCAGCUGAAUGGCCAGGA
rnacentral:piRNA from 1 species